CAGCUUUUUGCAUUGCGGAAGAUACUUUCGGUGAUUAGACGACAACAUUUGCUGCUGUGCACCCUACUAAUUUGCAAUUCUGCUGCUAUGGAGUUGCAGGCACUGCCUUUCUUGAUAGUUUGGUAACAGCUUGAGGAGUUAUUCUUAUUUUGGUGACCUUGAUAGUUUGGCGAGAUCAAGUCCAACUAACUUCUUUGGACCAGAGGAAAGAUCAGGAAACCAAGGAGAAUAUUAAGGCCAUUCAAACCAUCUUAGUUCAUCAGGAAGACAGAUGAACCUUGGAAAGGGUUGUGCACAUUAAUCAUGAUGAGCACCCUCAAUCUUCUAAUGUUUGUGAAAGGAUUACACCUAUGCAUAUCUCUUCUGGUUUGAGUAAAUCUAAAACUAUGGCUUUUACUGCCGUUGUUCCCUGUAUUUAUUGAAUUUG